UGAUGAUGGUGAGGGAAAUUUCUGAGCAUACUUUUAAAUCUCUUCCAAGAUUGGUAAAGAUUCUUUCCUUCUUUCAGUCUAAAACUUAAAAUCUCGCUUCUUAAAUG
rfam:Capsicum annuum cultivar Zunla-1 chromosome 9, whole genome shotgun sequence